CCACGACCGCAUGGUCAGUGGUUGGAAAGAAUUUUGGUUGGGGAUGGGCUCGCGGCCUAUCAGCUUGUUGGUGAGGUAAUGGCUCACCAAGGCGUCGACGGGUAGCCGGCCUGAGAGGGUGACCGGCCACACUGGGACUGAGACACGGCCCAGACUCCUACGGGAGGCAGCAGUGGGGAAUAUUGCACAAUGGGCGCAAGCCUGAUGCAGCAACGCCGCGUGAGGGAUGACGGCCUUCGGGUUGUAAACCUCUUUUAGCAGGGAAGAAGCGAAAGUGACGGUACCUGCAGAAAAAGCGCCGGCUAACUACGUGCCAGCAGCCGCGGUAAUACGUAGGGCGCAAGCGUUAUCCGGAAUUAUUGGGCGUAAAGAGCUCGUAGGCGGUUUGUCGCGUCUGCUGUGAAAUCCCGAGGCUCAACCUCGGGCCUGCAGUGGGUACGGGCAGACUAGAGUGCGGUAGGGGAGAUUGGAAUUCCUGGUGUAGCGGUGGAAUGCGCAGAUAUCAGGAGGAACACCGAUGGCGAAGGCAGAUCUCUGGGCCGUAACUGACGCUGAGGAGCGAAAGGGUGGGGAGCAAACAGGCUUAGAUACCCUGGUAGUCCACCCCGU
rnacentral:rRNA from 1 species